AGUCGAGCGCCCCCGCAAGGGGGAGCGGCGGACGGGUGAGUAACGCGUGGGAAUUUUCCUCAAGGUACGGAACAACUCAGGGAAACUUGGGCUAAUACCGUAUGAUGCAGAGAUGCCAAAGAUUUAUCGCCUUGGGAUAAGCCCGCGUCAGAUUAGGUAGUUGGUGGGGUAACGGCCUACCAAGCCUGCGAUCUGUAGCUGGUCUGAGAGGACGAUCAGCCACACUGGGACUGAGACACGGCCCAGACUCCUACGGGAGGCAGCAGUGGGGAAUCUUGCGCAAUGGGCGAAAGCCUGACGCAGCCAUGCCGCGUGAAUGAUGAAGGUCUUAGGAUUGUAAAGUUCUUUCGCUCGUGACGAUGAUGACGGUAACGAGAGAAGAAGCCCCGGCUAACUUCGUGCCAGCAGCCGCGGUAAUACGAAGGGGGCUAGCGUUGUUCGGAAUUACUGGGCGUAAAGCGCGCGUAGGCGGUUUUGCAAGCCAGAGGUGAAAUGCCUGAGCUCAACUUAGGAAUUGCCUUUGGGACUGCGAGGCUUUGAGGACGAGAGAGGUGAGUGGAAUUCCCAGUGUAGAGGUGAAAUUCGUAGAUAUUGGGAAGAACACCGGUGGCGAAGGCGGCUCACUGGCUCGUUUCUGACGCUGUAGCGCGAAAGCGUGGGGAUCAAACAGGAUUAGAUACCCUGGUAGUCCACGCCGUAA
rnacentral:rRNA from 1 species